GCAAGAAGGUAUUGUCACCAGGGAAGGCUGUGAACAGGAAGAAAUAACUCCUGAGACUACCCCUGCUUUUGAUUUGGUGCCAGUAGGAAAGAUGGAGAUGAAAACCUCAUCAAGAUCAGCAGUGAUUUGGGAAUCACCAAUAGAGUCAAACCCUCACUCUAAGAUGAUGCCCCCGAAGGUGAACUGUGAACUAAAUUGAUGAAAGCUGGGACCAAAGCCCAGAUUUCAGGGCUCCGUGUCUAGUAUUUAUUUUCCCUGCUUUCUUCAUAAUUAAAUUCAGUGUAAUGACCCAGACGUACUGCAAGAUCCUGGAGUGUCUUCUUAAUAAUCAAAUAUUGUCCUCUAUAAAGUUAUAAUGUUUAGUGAA